ACACUGUCCCCUUCUCCCCAG
rnacentral:miRNA from 1 species